GACGAACGCUGGCGGCGUGCUUAACACAUGCAAGUCGAACGAAGAGCGAUGGAAGCUUGCUUCUAUCAAUCUUAGUGGCGAACGGGUGAGUAACGCGUAAUCAACCUGCCCUUCAGAGGGGGACAACAGUUGGAAACGACUGCUAAUACCGCAUACGAUCUAAUCUCGGCAUCGAGGAUAGAUGAAAGGUGGCCUCUACAUGUAAGCUAUCACUGAAGGAGGGGAUUGCGUCUGAUUAGCUAGUUGGAGGGGUAACGGCCCACCAAGGCGAUGAUCAGUAGCCGGUCUGAGAGGAUGAACGGCCACAUUGGGACUGAGACACGGCCCAGACUCCUACGGGAGGCAGCAGUGGGGAAUCUUCCGCAUUGGACGAAAGUCUGACGGAGCAACGCCGCGUGAGUGAUGACGGCCUUCGGGUUGUAAAGCUCUGUUAAUCGGGACGAAAGGCCUUCUUGCGAAUAGUGAGAAGGAUUGACGGUACCGGAAUAGAAAGCCACGGCUAACUACGU
rnacentral:rRNA from 1 species